rnacentral:lncRNA from 1 species
CUUACAUGUGACCAAUACAAUGUGAUUUAUUAAAUUGACUAAUGAUCCAUUUAUUAGUGGCCAAUUCAAGUCUGUUGGCAGCAGCCUCUGUUAGUGAUGGCUGUUUAAGUCUGUUGGACUUGAGAGGAGCUGUUUUUCAGUCACUCUGUCCCAGCUUUGAUGCACCUGUACUGACCUCACGCAUAGUAGCUGGUGAACAGGCACUGGCUGUGUUUGUUGUCCUUGAUGAUCUUUUUGGCAAGAGGCAUCAUUACAGAUCCUAGUUAAAUUCCAGGCUGGCAGACCACUCACUCAAUCAGCUCUUAUUCUCCCCCACUUCACAGUAGAAGCCUCAAACAAGGUUCAAAAGACUGUUGACAUCUAGUGGAAGCCUUAGGAAGUGCAAUAUGACCCCACAGACACUAUAUUGGAUAGGCCAAGACUUGAAAAACUACAAACCUCAGAUUUCCCACUUCGUGUUUUUUUUUUCUCUCAGGUUUUUGCCUGCCAUAUGAGUUCUGUUAUACUCACAGACAUCAUUCAAACAAUUUUAGAAACUUCAGUGUUUUCUAUCCAAAUCUACAAAUAAUAUGCAUAUCUUAGCUUCAGGGCCUGAGUAGCACAGUUUACUCUGGGCACCUUAUUCAUCCAAGCUACUCAAUACUGCCACCCAGCCAUAAGAAUGGAGAAAGAAGCGUAUGCGCAGGCUGAAGCGCAAGAGGCGAAAGAUGAGGCAGAGGUCCAAGUAGACUGCCUCCCCCUACAACACCAUGGCUGUGACCCUUCUGGACACAACACGGGACCAAGGAUCUCAUGUGCAAAGUCUGAUCAGAGCUGUGCCAUCAUUGCCAAUGAGAGGCUGCAAAGAGACAGUUCUACUGUUGUCUUGGUCAAGAGACUCCACCACCUGCCUGGGAAAUUUGAUAUGGGGACAUUCUGGAUUCUCUACUCUUCUACCAAACCUACCCUACUCCAUUGCUUUUGUUUAUAAUUUCCAAUAAAGUUUUUGGUUUAAAGUUGUC